rnacentral:rRNA from 1 species
CAGUAGCCGCGGGAAUACGGAGGGGGCUAGCGUUGUUCGGAAUUACUGGGUGUAAAGCGCACGUAGGCGGCUUGGUAAAUUAGAGGUGAAAGCCUGGAGCUCAACUCCAGAAUUGCCUUUAAGACUGCCGAGCUAGCAGGUGAGAGAGGUAAGUGGAAUUCCGAGUGUAGAGGUGAAAUUCGUAGAUAUUCGGAAGAACACCAGUGGCGAAGGCGGCUUACUGGCUCAUACUGGACGCUGAGGUGCGAAAGCGUGGGGAGCAAACAGGAUUAGAUACCCCCGUAGUCCCUGUCUCUUAUAA